UCGGGAAUUUUGGGCAAUGGGCGAAAGCCUGACCCAGCAACGCCGCGUGAAGGAUGAAGUAUUUCGGUAUGUAAACUUCGAAAGAAUAGGAAGAAUAAAUGACGGUACUAUUUAUAAGCUCCGGCUAACUACGUGCCAGCAGCCGCGGUAAUACGUAGGGAGCAAGCGUUGUUCGGAUUUACUGGGCGUAAAGGGCGCGUAGGCGGCGCGGUAAGUCACUUGUGAAAUCUCUGAGCUUAACUCAGAACGGCCAAGUGAUACUGCAGUGCUAGAGUGCAGAAGGGGCAAUCGGAAUUCUUGGUGUAGCGGUGAAAUGCGUAGAUAUCAAGAGGAACACCUGAGGUGAAGACGGGUUGCUGGGCUGACACUGACGCUGAGGCGCGAAAGCUAGGGGAGCAAACGGGGAUUAGAUACCCUAGUAGUCCCUGAGCGGGCUGGCAAGGCGCAU
rnacentral:rRNA from 1 species